GAUGAACGCUAGCGGCAGGCCUAGCACAUGCAAGUCGAGGGAGAAGCCCUUUCGGGGGCAGAAACCGGCGCACGGGUGCGUAACGCGUAUGCAACCUACCUUUCACAGGGGGAUAGCCCGAAGAAAUUUGGAUUAAUACCCCAUAAUAUUAUUGGAUGGCAUCAUUUGAUAAUUAAAACUGCGGUGGUGAAAGAUGGGCAUGCGUCCUAUUAGCUAGUUGGAGUGGUAACGGCACCCCAAGGCUACGAUAGGUAGGGGUCCUGAGAGGGAGAUCCCCCACACUGGUACUGAGACAGGGACCAGACUCCUACGGGAGGCAGCAGUGAGGAAUAUUGGUCAAUGGUCGGAAGACUGAACCAGCCAUGCCGCGUGCAGGAAGAAUGCCUUAUGGGUUGUAAACUGCUUUUAUAUGGGAAGAAUAAGGUGUACGUGUACAUUGAUGACGGUACCAUAUGAAUAAGCAUCGGCUAACUCCGUG
rnacentral:rRNA from 1 species